rnacentral:tRNA from 1 species
GGUAGCGUGGCCGAGUGGUCUAAGGCGCUGGUUUUAGGCACCGGUCAUUUAUGACGUGGGUUCGAAUCCCACCGCUGCCA